rnacentral:rRNA from 1 species
AGGCAACCUGCCCUCAAGCUUGGGACAACUACCGGAAACGGUAGCUAAUACCGAAUACUUGUUUUCUUCGCCUGAAGAGAACUGGAAAGACGGAGCAAUCUGUCACUUGGGGAUGGGCCUGCGGCGCAUUAGCUAGUUGGUGAGGUAACGGCUCACCAAGGCGACGAUGCGUAGCCGACCUGAGAGGGUGAUCGGCCACACUGGGACUGAGACACGGCCCAGACUCCUACGGGAGGCAGCAGUAGGGAAUCUUCCGCAAUGGGCGAAAGCCUGACGGAGCAAUGCCGCGUGAGUGAUGAAGGUUUUCGGAUCGUAAAGCUCUGUUGCCAGGGAAGAACGCUUGGGAGAGUAACUGCUCUCAAGGUGACGGUACCUGAGAAGAAAGCCCCGGCUAACUACGUGCCAGCAGCCGCGGUAAUACGUAGGGGGCAAGCGUUGUCCGGAAUUAUUGGGCGUAAAGCGCGCGCAGGCGGUCAUGUAAGUCUGGUGUUUAAUCCCGGGGCUCAACCCCGGAUCGCACUGGAAACUGCGUGACUUGAGUGCAGAAGAGGAGAGUGGAAUUCCACGU